GGGAGUGUUGCUCAGUGGUAGAGUGCGUGUUUAGCAUAUAAAAGUCCCUGGAUUCAAUCCCCAGUACCCCCU
rnacentral:tRNA from 2 species